UGGUCAACAAGAGUGAAACUCCGUCAAAA
rnacentral:piRNA from 1 species